AGUUUUGAGUCCUGGCUCAGGAUGAACGCUGGCGGCGUGCCUAACACAUGCAAGUCGAGCGAAGCAUACAGAAUGAAGUUUUCGGAUGGAUUUCUGUAUGACUGAGCGGCGGACGGGUGAGUAACGCGUGGGUAACCUGCCUUAUACAGGGGGAUAACAGUUAGAAAUGACUGCUAAUACCGCAUAAGCGCACAGUACCGCAUGGUAGUGUGUGAAAAACUCCGGUGGUAUAAGAUGGACCCGCGUCUGAUUAGCCAGUUGGCGGGGUAACGGCCCACCAAAGCGACGAUCAGUAGCCGACCUGAGAGGGUGACCGGCCACAUUGGGACUGAGACACGGCCCAAACUCCUACGGGAGGCAGCAGUGGGGAAUAUUGCACAAUGGGGGAAACCCUGAUGCAGCAACGCCGCGCGAGUGAAGAAGUAUUUCGGUAUGUAAAGCUCUAUCAGCAGGGAAGAAGAUGACGGUACCUGACCAAGAAGCCCCGGCUAACUACGUG
rnacentral:rRNA from 1 species